rnacentral:tRNA from 1 species
GUUUUAAUAAUUUAAAUAAAAUACUGGUCUUGUAAAUCAGAAAUAAGAUUAUUCUUUUAAAACA